GGCCACACUGGGACUGAGACACGGCCCAGACUCCUACGGGAGGCAGCAGUGGGGAAUAUUGCACAAUGGGCGAAAGCCUGAUGCAGCAACGCCGCGUGAGGGAUGACGGCCUUCGGGUUGUAAACCUCUUUUAGCAGGGAAGAAGCGAAAGUGACGGUACCUGCAGAAAAAGCGCCGGCUAACUACGUGCCAGCAGCCGCGGUAAUACGUAGGGCGCAAGCGUUAUCCGGAAUUAUUGGGCGUAAAGAGCUCGUAGGCGGUUUGUCGCGUCUGCUGUGAAAUCCCGAGGCUCAACCUCGGGCCUGCAGUGGGUACGGGCAGACUAGAGUGCGGUAGGGGAGAUUGGAAUUCCUGGUGUAGCGGUGGAAUGCGCAGAUAUCAGGAGGAACACCGAUGGCGAAGGCAGAUCUCUGGGCCGUAACUGACGCUGAGGAGCGAAAGGGUGGGGAGCAAACAGGCUUAGAUACCCUGGUAGUCCACCCCGUAAACGUUGGGAACUAGUUGUGGGGUCCAUUCCACGGAUUCCGUGACGCAGCUAACGCAUUAAGUUCCCCGCCUGGGGAGUACGGCCGCAAGGCUAAAACUCAAAGGAAUUGACGGGGACCCGCACAAGCGGCGGAGCAUGCGGAUUAAUUCGAUGCAACGCGAAGAACCUUACCAAGGCUUGACAUAUACGAGAACGGGCCAGAAAUGGUCAACU
rnacentral:rRNA from 1 species